GGUCAGUGUCAUUUAAACUUGUGGGGAUGUCUCCAUCUUGUCAAAAGCCUCAAUAGAUAGGUCAAUGUAAUUUACCCAAUUAUUUUAAAAAAAUCUUGGACUAUAUCAUAUUUUUUAAUUUUUUGCAUAUAGUAUUAACGAAACUAGAUUUAGUUUUCAGCUUUUUGUUUGUGGAUUUUGAUGUAUUUUCUAGUUUAGAGCUUUUGACAGCCAUUUAUCUAUUAUUUUCUACUAAAAUAUUUAUUGAUUGCCAAAUGGAAUUCUAAGAAAAAUGCUGCUAGUUUAGCUUACAUAUGGACUUCCUCUUUGCUCUCCAAAUA